AACUCCCCAAAUCCUGACAUCUGUGCAAAGGCACAUCGGAGAAGGAGAUCAAGGGCAGAGGAGACUAAGCUAGAGGGCACACUGUGAGCAAUAUUGAGAAUGGUGAGUGGUAGUUCCACCAAUCCCACCCAGAAUUUUUGCAUUGAGACACGGUUUCGCCAAGUUGCAUCUAUUUUUUUCUCCCCUUGUCUACCAAAAAAAAACAUGUUUUGACUAUGUGGAGCUUGGAAAGGUCAAGUUCAAUCUCAUUUGUCCCCCAUCUCUGCCCUGGAUGCAAGAAAAAAAUAGAAUGUAUACAUGUAUGUCACCCAAAAUGGACCCUGCAGCCUUCGCCUCCACACUAUUCUCACAAUCAAGGUCUUUCCACAUAGGCGUUGUCUACAUAGGCAUUGUUUACAUAGACGGUGUCUACAACAUUCCAUUUUGGCCCAUUGGAUCUUGGACAAUGAGGAAUCACAAAAAAUAUGGAGGCUGUCCAUAGCGUUCUCUAUAGAAUAAAAAAAAAUCUAGAAGCAUUCCAUAGUGUUCUUCAUAAAAGUAUGGUCCUUAUGAAUAAUAUGAAAGAGUUGUAUGUAGAAAGUUGAUUAACCAACUAUCUAGCUCCAUGUUAUGGGAGCUGAAUGCCUUUGAUAAGAUCUUGACCAGCCCCACAAUAAAUGAGAUAAUCGAGAGCCUUUACUGCCAUUUUAAAAAAUACUUUUGUUGGAUGGAGCCUAAGUGUCCCAUAUCUUAUGAUUCACACUUGUUGAUAGAUAGGAAGACUGAGGCUUUGCAAAGUGUCUCAGAAGCAUAGAGGAAACAUUUCUUGAAGUCCAUGGCCUUGAUCAUGCCUAUAUUUGAGGGUCAUUCGAUCAUGUCAUAAGAUUUCCCAAAAAUCAAUCUCAAUGAAGAGGGUGUUGAAAUCAAGGAAACAUUUGAGGCUAUUCCAUAAAUUUUUCCCCUUCCAUCCAAAGUCAACAAAAUUGAAACCCAUUUUUGAGAGUUGUUGGUGCCUCAUCCUAUAACUGAUGGCAACAUUAGGAAAUAUGGAGACGUCGUCGAGGGCCCCGGAAAGACUUAUCUUUUCUUUUUAAAAUCUUUCCCACCCUGAAAUCGACUCAACCGGAGAUAGGGUCCAGCAGCUGGAAGAGAAUCGCACAUCUUGCGACGUCUGGUGCGCCCUCAGUGGCCCUUGAAAAUCUGGAGGACCGAGUACCGUCCAUGCCCGAUCGUACUCAUAACCGCAUCAGGUCUCCAAGGUGAACAACCUUUGGUCAAUAGAACAAUGUAGGUAAGGGAAGUGGCAAAAAGGAUCCGUAAAUUCUGGAAAAGGAUU
rnacentral:ncRNA from 1 species